rnacentral:ncRNA from 1 species
AAUAUUAAGAACAUGAUGUUGGUUCAGAUUAAACGCUAAAUAAGGACAUGACACAUGCGAAUUAAACGUUUAUUAUAAAUAUUAUAAUAAAUAUGUAGUGUAUACGUGAGUAAUUUAUAAGGAAUUUAGAACUAUAGAAUAAGUUAAAUGCUUAAUAUUAUAUUAUAUAAUAUAUAAAGAAUAUAAAAAUUAUAUUUGUCUAUAGUCAAGCCUAUAAUGGUUUAGGUAGUAGGUUUAUUAAAAGUUAAACCUAGCCUUCGAUCCAUAGUUAAUAAUUAAAGUUAUAAUGACCACGUUGACUUUGAAAUAUAGUCAAUAUCUAAAUGAUACAGCAGUGAGGAAUAUUGAACAAUGAUCGAAAGAUUGAUUCAGUUACUUAUUAGGAUGAUAUAUAAAUAAUUAUUUAUCUUUUUAGAUAAAUAAUAUAUAUAAUUUAUAUUAAUAAUUAUAUUAUAUAUAUAAAUUGAUUAAAAAUAAAAUCCUUAAAUAGUGAAAAUAAUGAUAUUAACUACCAUAAUAUAAAAUUUUUUUUAUGGAUAUAAUAUAUUAUAUAUUAUAUUUUAAUAGUCCUAACCAAAAUUUGUGCCAGCAGCUGCGGUAAUACAAUGGGGGCUAGCGUUAAUCAUAAUGGCUUAAAGGGUCCGUAGAAUUAUUUAUUUAUUUAUUUCAAAUAUAAAUUAGAGUUAAUAAAUUUAAUUAAAGAAUUAUAAUAGUAAAGAUGAAAUAAUUAUAAUAAUUAUAAGACUUAUAUAUGUGAAAAUAUUAAUUAAAUAUUAACUGACAUUGAUGGACGAAAGCUAGAGUAGCAAUACGGAUUCGAUACCCGAGUAGUUCUAGCUGUAAACUAUGAACACCAUAAUUUAUUUAUUAUAAAUAAAUUAUAAAUGAAAAUGUAAGUGUUCCGCCUGAAGAGUACGUUCGCAAGAAUGAAACUCAAGACAAUAGACGGUUACAGACUUAAGCAGUGGAGCAUGUUAUUUAAUUCGAUAAUCCGCGACUAAUCUUACCAUAUUUUGAAUAUAAAAAUUAAUUUUAUUAAUGAUUAUACAGGCGUUACAUCGUUGUCUUCAGUUCGUGCCGCAAGGUCUUAGAUUAAGUUCAUUAACGAACAUAACUCCAUAUAUAUAAUAUUUAAUUAUAUAUAAUAUUUAUAUUAUUAUAUAAAUGAAAGGAAUUAAGACAAAUCAUGAUGAUCCUUAUAAUAUGGGUAAUAGACGUGCUAUAAUAAAAUAAUAAUAAAGUUAUAUGAUAAUAUAAUCUAAUUAUUUUAUAAAUAAUAGAUUUUUUAUAAUUAAUAACAUAAAAUAUUUUAAUCUUUAAUAUAUAUAUAUAUUAUAUAUAGUAUGAAUUAUAAUCUGAAAUUCGAUUAUAUGAAAAAAGAAUUGCUAGUAAUACGUAAAUUAGUAUGUUACGGUGAAUAUUCUAACUGUUUCGCACUAAUCACUCAUCACGCGUUGAAACAUAAUAUUAUCCUAAUAUAUAUAUAUAAUAUAUUUAUAUUAUAAUAAUAAAUAUAUUACAGUUCCCCCCCAAUCAUCCUAGAUGAUUGGGGGGAUAAUGAAAUAGUUUAUAUAGAAGAAAUAUUAUGAAUUAAUGCGAAGUUGAAAUACAGUUACCGUAGGGGAACCUGCGGUGGGCUUAUAAUUAUC